ACAUCCACAUAUGAAAUCACUUGCAUAUAUGUAUAUACACAACUCAAGCAUGCGUCUUACCUGAAAUGUAUUUUGUAUGUUUGCGUGAGUGUUUUAUGGGUGUAUAUGCGCGCAACGAGUUUAUAUGUAUGUGCGAGUGUUUUUAGGUGUAUAUGCAUGGAUCAAGUUUAUAUGUAUAAGCGAGUGUUUUUUAGCGUAUGCAUGCGUUAAGUUUAUAUGUAUAUACAAGUUAUUCACAAGUGUAUAUGUAUUCAUUACUAAUAAAAGAUGUAUUGGUAUGGAUUUCA